CCUACGGGUGGCAGCAGUGAGGAAUAUUGGUCAAUGGGCGGAAGCCUGAACCAGCCAAGUCGCGUGAGGGAUUAAGGCCCUACGGGUCGUAAACCUCUUUUGCCGGGGAGCAAAGGUCCGGACGUGUCCGGGCCGGGAGAGUACCCGAAGAAAAAGCAUCGGCUAACUCCGUGCCAGCAGCCGCGGUAAUACGGAGGAUGCGAGCGUUAUCCGGAUUUAUUGGGGUUAAAGGGUGCGUAGGCGGGCAUUUAAGCCGGCGGUCAAAUGUCGGGGCUCAACCCCGGCCUGCCGUCGGAACUGGGUGCCUUGAGUGGGCGAGAAGUAUGCGGAAUGCGUGGUGUAGCGGUGAAAUGCAUAGAUAUCACGCAGAACCCCGAUUGCGAAGGCAGCAUACCGGCGCCCUACUGACGCUGAGGCACGAAAGUGCGGGUAUCGAACAGGAUUAGAUACCCCAGUAGUC
rnacentral:rRNA from 1 species